rnacentral:rRNA from 1 species
ACGAACGCUGGCGGCGUGCUUAACACAUGCCAGCCGCGCGGAAAGGCCCUGCUUUUGUGGGGUGCUCGAGUGGCGAACGGGUGAGUAACACGUGAGUAACCUGCCCUUGACUUUGGGAUAACUUCAGGAAACUGGGGCUAAUACCGGAUAGGAGCUCCUGCUGCAUGGUGGGGGUUGGAAAGUUUCGGCGGUUGGGGAUGGACUCGCGGCUUAUCAGCUUGUUGGUGGGGUAGUGGCUUACCAAGGCUUUGACGGGUAGCCGGCCUGAGAGGGUGACCAGCCACAUUGGGACUGAGAUACGGCCCAGACUCCUACGGGAGGCAGCAGUGGGGAAUAUUGCACAAUGGGCGGAAGCCUGAUGCAGCAACGCCGCGUGCGGGAUGACGGCCUUCGGGUUGUAAACCGCUUUCGCCUGUGACGAAGCGUGAGUGACGGUAAUGGGUAAAGAAGCACCGGCUAACUACGUG